rnacentral:rRNA from 1 species
UACGUAGGUGGCAAGCGUUGUCCGGAUUUACUGGGCGUAAAGAGCGCGCAGGCGGCCAAGUCAGUCGAAUGUGAAAGCCCCCGGCUCAACUGGGGAGGGUCAUUCGAUACUGCUCGGCUCGAAGACAGGAGAGGGAAGUGGAAUUCCCGGUGUAGUGGUGAAAUGCGUAGAGAUCCGGAGGAACACCAGUGGCGAAGGCGGCUCGCUGGGCUUUACCUGACGCUGAGGCGCGAAAGCGUGGGGAGCGAACCGG